rnacentral:rRNA from 1 species
GACGAACGCUGGCGGCAUGCCUAACACAUGCAAGUCGAGCGAGCGGCGGACGGGUGCGUAAUGGAUGGGGACUGCCCGUUAGCGGGGGAUAACUACUGGAAACGGUGGCUAAUACCGCAUUCGGUCGGAUUACCCAUUUGGUAGUAGCUAGUAGGUCAGGUAAUGGCUUAAAGAGGCGACGAUACCUAGCUGGUCUGAGAGGAUGAUCAGCCACACUGGGACGGAGACACGGCCCAGCCUCCUACGGAGGCAGCAGUGGGGAAUAUUGCGCAAUGGGCGCAAGCCUGAUGCAGCCAUGCCGCGUGUAUGAAGAAGGCCCUAGGGUUGUAAAGUACUUUCAGUCGGGAGGCGUUACCGACAGAAGAAGCACCGGCUAACUCCGUGCCAGCAGCCGCGGUAAUUC